UUGUGGUCUUGACUUGCCGAUGGGCAACGGUGGGACCCGCUGAGGCUGUGAGAACAGAGGAAAAUCACAACUGAUGUGCAGCGUAGGCCGUGACAUAACAACCGCCUGGCUAGCGACCAGGAGCAGCAAACAGGGGACUCGUGCGAGGGAGUUCUCCGGGUGAUGGAGGAGAGACUACGUGACCCAUUGGGUGGAAUGGGUUACUCAGCUGUUACUGCAGUCACCGGACUAUACAUCGUGACUAACCCUUUAUGCUCACUGGAACGGAUUCCUGAUGCCUUCUGGAGGAUCUGCCGCUCUAUGCAGGAGCAGACACCAUGUACAAAUGCAAAUUUAAAAAUAUCUGACUCCG